GACAGAAUCUCUGUUUACAUAUACAGUAUGUAAGAAUGGAUGAACUGAUAAAUAUAUAGACAAUAAAUACAAUCCAUAUAACCAGGGUUGCAUUCAUCUCUGUUUCUUAGGGCUUAUGUUAGACCGAGCCCGGGGUCGGAUUCCUCACUGGAGUGAUUGUGGGGGGUUAAGAAAUGAUGGAAGGGCUUUGAGGCCUUGAUUGUGAAAUCAGAGCACAAACAAGAGGCUCCACAAGGCUUGACUACAAAGGCCUAGGAAAGAACCCUCCCCCCUUUUCUACCCCCUAAUGGGAACUGUGAAGGAGAGUGGAGCUGGAAGGAGGUGAGCGUGGGGGCCUCCUGUUACUCUUCGAGUUGGCGGAGAGUUUGCAAUGCAUCCAAUAACAGAACAAGCUGGGGUGUCAUCACUGACAGAUUUUUGCUCUCAAUUUAAAAAGAGGAAUUAGAUUCCUGGUCGAUGGGAGCAUUGCGCUCGGUGUUGCUGUCCUACGCUAUAAACAAAAGCGGUGCCCUGAUUCGCCGGGGAGCCUGGUGGGUAGGAUGGCUAAAAUCACAUGUCAUCAAGAUGGAGAACUUUAAGGAGGAGGAUAAAAUGGAUUUCGAGGACCUGGGGUCUCGUCCCAGAUCUAAACACACCAGCCCACGGCAUGCGGCGCCAGGCUUUUUACUCCUCUCACUUUUAUUUAACACCUUCAAAGAUCUGUGGAAGGACUAAUCACGCAAUGCUCAUGAGGUCAGAACUUCUGAAACAGCCUCGUGUGGGUGACUUUUAGGAAAAAAAAUAUAGCAUAGCUCGAUUGUUGUUUUUAUUAUUUGACGCUUGUCAUGUUACUGAGAAACUGCAAAGCACCGUCUCCUCUGGCCUGAAGACUUGCGUCGGAAAACUUCUGGAACUUCUGAAGACGCUCUAAAAAAAUUCUCUACCAGGAAACCGAAUGAGCAAUCAGACGUUUUUAAUCCGUUUACGUGUUGUGACUAUUCUCUGUGUACACAAGGAUGUUGCUAUAGAAACAAUAACAAAACAAACAAGCGCAAUAAAAUAAACCUACAA